rnacentral:rRNA from 1 species
UGAGUAACGCGUGGGUAACCUGCCUUAUACCGGGGGAUAACACUUAGAAAUAGGUGCUAAUACCGCAUAAGCGCACGGUGUCGGCAUGACACGAGUGUGAAAAACUCCGGGUGGUAUAAGAUGGACCCGCGUCUGAUUAGCCAGUUGGCAGGGUAACGGCCUACCAAAGCGACGAUCAGUAGCCGGCCUGAGAGGGUGAACGGCCACAUUGGGACUGAGACACGGCCCCAAACUCCUACGGGAGGCAGCAGUGGGGAAUAUCGCACAAUGGGGGAAACCCUGAUGCAGCGACGCCGCGUGAGUGAAGAAGUAUUUCGGUAUGUAAAGCUCUAUCAGCAGGGAAGAAGAAAUGACGGUACCUUGACUAAGAAGCCCCGGCUAACUACGUG